AACGUAGGACGCGAGCGUUAUCCGGAGUUACUGGGCGUAAAGCGCGGGCAGGCGGUCUGACAAGUCUGAUGUGAAAUCUCCGGGCUUAACCGGGAGAGGCCAUUGGAAACUGACAGGCUUGAGUGCGGCAGAGGAGACUGGAAUUCCUGGUGUAGCAGUGAAAUGCGUAGAUAUCAGGAGGAAUACCGAUGGCGAAGGCAGGUCUCUGGGCUGACACUGACGCUCAUGCACGAAAGCGUGGGGAGCAAACAGG
rnacentral:rRNA from 1 species